rnacentral:pre_miRNA from 1 species
ACAGGGGAGGGAAGUGGGCAGUGAUGACAGUGCAAAGUAUUUACAAGCCAAAGCAUUUACCCACUGUCAUCACUGCCCACUUCCCUCCCCUGUG